UACAGAGGUCUCAAGCGUUGUUCGGAUUCAUUGGGCGUAGAGGGUGCGUAGGCGGCGCGGUAAGUCGGGUGUGAAAUCUCGGAGCUUAACUCCGAAACUGCAUUCGAUACUGCCGUGCUUGAGGACUGGAGAGGAGACUGGAAUUUACGGUGUAGCGGUGAAAUGCGUAGAUAUCGUAAGGAAGACCAGUGGCGAAGGCGGGUCUCGGGACAGUUCCUGACGCUGAGGCACGAAGGUCAGGGGAGCAAACGGG
rnacentral:rRNA from 1 species